AGUGGCGAACUGGUGAGUAACACGUGGGUCCCCUGCCCUUGAAGUAGGGGAUAACACUUGGAAACAGGUGCUAAUACCGUAUAACAACCAAAACCACCUGGUUUUGGUUUAAAAGAUGGCUUCGGCUAUCACUUUAGGAUGGACCCGCGGCGUAUUAGCUUGUUGGUAAGGUAACGGCCUACCAAGGCAAUGAUACGUAGCCGACCUGAGAGGGUAAUCGGCCACAUUGGGACUGAGACACGGCCCAAACUCCUACGGGAGGCAGCAGUAGGGAAUCUUCCACAAUGGACGAAAGUCUGAUGGAGCAACGCCGCGUGAGUGAUGAAGGGUUUCGGCUCGUAAAACUCUGUUGUUGGAGAAGAACAGGUGUGAGAGUAACUGUUCACAUCUUGACGGUAUCCAACCAGAAAGCCACGGCUAACUACGUGCCAGCAGCCGCGGUAAUACGUAGGUGGCAAGCGUUGUCCGGAUUUAUUGGGCGUAAAGCGAGCGCAGGCGGUUUCUUAGGUCUGAUGUGAAAGCCUUCGGCUUAACCGGAGAAGUGCAUCGGAAACCAGGAGACUUGAGUGCAGAAGAGGACAGUGGAACUCCAUGUGUAGCGGUGAAAUGCGUAGAUAUAUGGAAGAACACCAGUGGCGAAGGCGGCUGUCUGGUCUGUAACUGACGCUGAGGCUCGAAAGCAUGGGUAGCGAACAGGAUUAGAUACCCCUGGUAGUCCAUGC
rnacentral:rRNA from 1 species